GAGAGCCGUAUGCCGCUACAAACGGCACGUACGGGUUCGGAGAGGGGGGUACGGGCGACCCUGAAAAGGGCGACCGGCCCCUACUCUAC
rfam:Chloroflexi bacterium 13_1_20CM_54_36 13_1_20cm_full_scaffold_6290, whole genome shotgun sequence.